UACGUAGGCAGCAAGCGUUGUUCGGAGUUACUGGGCGUAAAGGGUGUGUAGGCGGUUCUUUAAGUUUGGUGUGAAAUCUCCCGGCUCAACCGGGAGGGUGCGCCGAAUACUGAGGGACUAGAGUGUGGGAGAGGAAAGUGGAAUUCCUGGUGUAGCGGUGAAAUGCGUAGAUAUCGGAAGGAACACCAGUGGCGAAAGCGGCUUCCUGGUCCAGCACCGACGUUCAGGCACGAAAGCGUGGGGAGCAAACAGG
rnacentral:rRNA from 1 species